GUGGGGAAUCUUGCGCAAUGGGCGAAAGCCUGACGCAGCAACGCCGCGUGCGGGAUGAAGGCUCUCGGGUUGUAAACCGCUUUCAGCAGGAACGAAAAUGACGGUACUUGCAGAAGAAGGUGCGGCCAACUAUGUGCCAGCAGCCGCGGUGAUACAUAGGCACCAAGCGUUGUCCGGAUUUAUUGGGCGUAAAGAGCUCGUAGGUGGUUCGGUAAGUCGGGUGUGAAAACUUUGGGCUCAACCCAAAGCCUGCAUCCGAUACUGCUGUGACUAGAGUUCGGUAGGGGAGCGGGGAAUUCCUAGUGUAGCGGUGAAAUGCGCAGAUAUUAGGAGGAACACCGGUGGCGAAGGCGCCGCUCUGGGCCGAUACUGACACUGAGGAGCGAAAGCGUGGGUAGCAAACAGGAUUAGAAACCCCGGUAGUCC
rnacentral:rRNA from 1 species